rnacentral:rRNA from 1 species
CAGCAGCCGCGGUAAUACGUAGGGUGCGAGCGUUAAUCGGAAUUACUGGGCGUAAAGCGUGCGCAGGCGGUUGUGCAAGACAGGUGUGAAAUCCCCGGGCUUAACCUGGGAACUGCACUUGUGACUGCACGGCUAGAGUACGGUAGAGGGGGAUGGAAUUCCGCGUGUAGCAGUGAAAUGCGUAGAUGUGCGGAGGAACACCGAUGGCGAAGGCAAUCUCCUGGACCUGUACUGACGCUCAUGCACGAAAGCGUGGGGAGCAAACAGGAUUAGAUACCCUGGUAGUCCACGCCCUAAACGAUGUCAACUGGUUGUUGGACGGCUUGCUGUUCAGUAACGAAGCUAACGCGUGAAGUUGACCGCCUGGGGAGU